rnacentral:rRNA from 1 species
AGAGUUUGAUCCUGGCUCAGGAUGAACGCUAGCGGCAGGCUUAAUACAUGCAAGUCGAACGGUAAGGUCUCUUCGGAGAUACACGAGUGGCGCACGGGUGCGUAACGCGUAUGCAACCUACCUUUUACUGGGAAAUAGCCCCGAGAAAUCGGGAUUAAUGUCCCAUACUAUCCUAAGAAUGCAUAUUCAGAGGAUGAAAGCUCCGGCGGUAAAAGAUGGGCAUGCGUGACAUUAGCUAGUUGGUGAGGUAAAGGCUCACCAAGGCGACGAUGUCUAGGGGUCCUGAGAGGGUUAACCCCCACACUGGUACUGAGACACGGACCAGACUCCUACGGGAGGCAGCAGUAAGGAAUAUUGGGCAAUGGACGCAAGUCUGACCCAGCCAUGCCGCGUGCAGGAUGAAUGUCCUAUGGAUUGUAAACUGCUUUUGUGCGGGAAAAAUUCCCCGGUUUCGUACCGGGGUUGAUGGUACCGUACGAAUAAGCAUCGGCUAACUCCGUGCCAGCAGCCGCGGUAAUACGGAGGAUGCAAGCGUUAUCCGGAUUCAUUGGGUUUAAAGGGUGCGCAGGCGGAAUGAUAAGUCAGUGGUGAAAUCUCCCGGCUCAACCGGGAAACUGCCGUUGAUACUGUCAUUCUUGAGUACAGUUGAAGUGGGCGGAAUGUGUCAUGUAGCGGUGAAAUGCUUAGAUAUGACACAGAACACCGAUAGCGAAGGCAGCUCACUAAGCUGUAACUGACGCUCAUGCACGAAAGCGUGGGGAUCAAA